GAUGAACGCUGGCGGCGUGCCUAAUACAUGCAAGUCGAGCGAACGGACGAGAAGCUUGCUUUUCUGAUGUUAGCGGCGGACGGGUGAGUAACACGUGGAUAACCUACCUAUAAGACUGGGAUAACUUCGGGAAACCGGAGCUAAUACCGGAUAAUAUUUUGAACCGCAUGGUUCAAAAGUGAAAGACGGUCUUGCUGUCACUUAUAGAUGGAUUCGCGCUGCAUUAGCUAGUUGGUAAGGUAACGGCUUACCAAGGCAACGAUGCAUAGCCGACCUGAGAGGGUGAUCGGCCACACUGGAACUGAGACACGGUCCAGACUCCUACGGGAGGCAGCAGUAGGGAAUCUUCCGCAAUGGGCGAAAGCCUGACGGAGCAACGCCGCGUGAGUGAUGAAGGUCUUCGGAUCGUAAAACUCUGUUAUUAGGGAAGAACAUAUGUGUAAGUAAUUGUGCACAUCUUGACGGUACCUAAUCAGAAAGCCACGGCUAACUACGUG
rnacentral:rRNA from 1 species